rnacentral:rRNA from 1 species
CCCAGACUCCUACGGGAGGCAGCAGUGGGGAAUAUUGCACAAUGGGGGAAACCCUGAUGCAGCGACGCCGCGUGAGUGAAGAAGUAUUUCGGUAUGUAAAGCUCUAUCAGCAGGGAAGAAAAUGACGGUACCUGAUUAAGAAGCCCCGGCUAACUACGUGCCAGCAGCCGCGGUAAUACGUAGGGGGCAAGCGUUAUCCGGAUUUACUGGGUGUAAAGGGAGCGUAGACGGUGAUGCAAGUCAGAAGUGAAAGCCCGGGGCUCAACUCCGGGGCUGCUUUUGAAACUGUGUAACUGGAGUGCAGGAGAGGUAAGCGGAAUUCCUGGUGUAGCGGUGAAAUGCGUAGAUAUCAGGAGGAACACCAGUGGCGAAGGCGGCUUACUGGACUGUAACUGACGUUGAGGCUCGAAAGCGUGGGGAGCAAACAGGAUUAGAUACCCGGGUA